AGAAUCAACGCUGGCGGCGUGCCUAACACAUGCAAGUCGCACGAGAAAGGGUAGCAAUACCUGAGUAAAGUGGCGCACGGGUGAGUAACACGUGAAUUAUCUACCUCCGAGUGGGGAAUAACUGAGAGAAAUCUUAGCUAAUACCGCAUAACACUUACGAGUCAAAGCAGCGAAUGCGCUUUGAGAGGAGUUCGCGGCCGAUUAGUUAGUUGGCGGGGUAAUGGCCCACCAAGACGAUGAUCGGUA
rnacentral:rRNA from 1 species